UACGGAGGAUCCAAGCGUUAUCCGGAAUCAUUGGGUUUAAAGGGUCCGUAGGCGGUUUGGUAAGUCAGUGGUGAAAGCCCAUCGCUCAACGGUGGAACGGCCAUUGAUACUGCUAGACUUGAAUUAUUAGGAAGUAACUAGAAUAUGUAGUGUAGCGGUGAAAUGCUUAGAGAUUACAUGGAAUACCAAUUGCGAAGGCAGGUUACUACUAAUGGAUUGACGCUGAUGGACGAAAGCGUGGGUAGCGAACAG
rnacentral:rRNA from 1 species